CUCGCCAACCAGUUAUUGUACGAGUAGGAAUUAACUCACCCUCGUCAUUCUCUACUAUAGUAAUACCUGAUUUCUUAGGUACUACUUGGAUUGGACUAACCCAUUGGCUAUCCGAAAUCGGGUAGAUGAUACAGCAUCAAGCCAUUUUACUACUUUUUUCAUAACUUUCCGUAUAUUCGGAUUCAAUCUUCAUUGCAUGUCCCUACGUGGUUUGGCC
rnacentral:lncRNA from 1 species